AUUGAACGCUGGCGGCAGGCCUAACACAUGCAAGUCGAGCGGAUGAGUGGAGCUUGCUCCAUGACUCAGCGGCGGACGGGUGAGUAAUGCCUAGGAAUCUGCCUGGUAGUGGGGGACAACGUUUCGAGAGGAACGCUAAUACCGCAUACGCCCUACGGGAGAAAGUAGGGGACCUUCGGGCCUUGCGCUAUCAGAUGAGCCUAGGUCGGAUUAGCUAGUUGGUGAGGGAAUGGCUCACCAAGGCGACGAUCCGUAACUGGUCUGAGAGGAUGAUCAGUCACACUGGAACUGAGACACGGUCCAGACUCCUACGGGAGGCAGCAGUGGGGAAUAUUGGACAAUGGGCGAAAGCCUGAUCCAGCCAUGCCGCGUGUGUGAAGAAGGUCUUCGGAUUGUAAAGCACUUUAAGUUGGGAGGAAGGGUUGUACGUUAAUACCGUGCAAUUUUGACGUUACCGACAGAAUAAGCACCGGCUAACUCUGUGCCAGCCGCCGCCGUAAAAC
rnacentral:rRNA from 1 species